UUACAUCCGUGCUUAUUUAGCUGCAAAUGUCGAGUGAGUAACAUCUUCAUAUUGCUUUCGCAACUUAAUAGUUAUUAUUUUAGAUCAAGAAAUGUGCAAUCAUUUUUGCGAGGAGUCGAGAACAAGAAACUACUAUUAUUUUCGGCGGGAUAAACCCAGCGAGAACGGAGCGGGGGAUUUCCAAUUAUGAAUAACAAUGCUGUCAUUAAAAAAUGGGCGUUGCUGUCGUCGAGGCUCUCUUCGCCACAAAUUUUAUGUAA